rnacentral:rRNA from 1 species
GAUGAACGCUAGCGGGAGGCUUAACACAUACAAGUCGAGGGGUAACAUGAGGUAGCAAUACUUUGAUGACGACCGGCGCACGGGUGAGUAACGCGUAUGUAACCUACCUUGUACAGGGGGAUAGCCCGGAGAAAUUCGGAUUAAUACCCCAUAAUGAUAUCUGAAGGCAUCUUUAGAUAUUUAAAGUUUCGACGGUACGAGAUGGGCAUGCGUGACAUUAGCUAGUUGGUAAGGUAACGGCUUACCAAGGCUGCGAUGUCUAGGGGUCCUGAGAGGGUGAUCCCCCACACUGGUACUGAGACACGGACCAGACUCCUACGGGAGGCAGCAGUGAGGAAUAUUGGUCAAUGGGCGUAAGCCUGAACCAGCCAUCCCGCGUGAAGGAAGAAGGCGCUAUGUGUCGUAAACUUCUUUUCCGGAGGAAUAAAAUUUCGUACGUGUACGGGACUGAAGGUACUCCGGGAAUAAGCAUCGGCUAACUCCGUGCCAGCCGCCGCCGUAACAC